GACUGGAAAGGAACCUGAUUCCAAGAUGAAGGAUGCACAAUGGGCUGAUGAACAAAUGCCUAUUGAUUCUCUACAGAAUCUGUGAAGCAACAAACACAACUAGCUGACGAGAUUCAAGCCUACUCAAAGCUCUCAUAUCUCUCAAAUGAUUGCAUGGCGCUACUCCUGGAAGAGAUGGGUUUUGGACCUGGAUAAUUUUGAGGAAAAAAGGCAAACCAUCAUGUAUAGAAUAAGGAAGCAAUGGCUGUGCAAUGGUAAUCUCUGUAGAGUAAUAUUUGCAGUUAAUGUAAUUAAUUAAUGCUUCAGGAGAGAUUGAUUCCUAAAUUGUUGAAUGCAUGAGAUUUCAUAAA